rnacentral:rRNA from 1 species
GCGAGUGANGCGGGAAAAGCUCAAAUUUAAAAUCUGGCGGCUUUGGUCGUCCGAGUUGUAUUCUAGAGAAGUGUUUUCCGCGUUGGACCGUGUAUAAGUCUCUUGGAAUAGAGCGUCAUAGAGGGUGAGAAUCCCGUCUUUGACACGGACUACCAAUGCUUUGUGAUACACUCUCAAAGAGUCGAGUUGUUUGGGAAUGCAGCUCAAAAUGGGUGGUAAAUUCCAUCUAAAGCUAAAUAUUGGCGAGAGACCGAUAGCGAACAAGUACCGUGAGGGAAAGAUGAAAAGCACUUUGGAAAGAGAGUUAAACAGUACGUGAAAUUGCUGAAAGGGAAACGCUUGAAGUCAGUCGCGUUAGCUAGAACUCAACCAGGCUUGCUUGGCGUAUUUUCUAGUUAACGGGCCAGCAUCAGUUUUGACCGCAGGAAAAGGGCCAGGGAAAUGUGGCAUCUUCGGAUGUGUUAUAGUCUCUGGUCGUAUACUGUGAUUGGGACUGAGGACCGCAGCACGCGCAAGCUGUGCUUAGGAUGCUGGCGUAAUGGCUUUAAACGACCCGU